GAUGAACGCUGGCGGCGUGCCUAAUACAUGCAAGUCGAGCGAACAGACGAGGAGCUUGCUCCUCUGACGUUAGCGGCGGACGGGUGAGUAACACGUGGAUAACCUACCUAUAAGACUGGGAUAACUUCGGGAAACCGGAGCUAAUACCGGAUAAUAUAUUGAACCGCAUGGUUCAAUAGUGAAAGACGGUUUUGCUGUCACUUAUAGAUGGAUCCGCGCCGCAUUAGCUAGUUGGUAAGGUAACGGCUUACCAAGGCAACGAUGCGUAGCCGACCUGAGAGGGUGAUCGGCCACACUGGAACUGAGACACGGUCCAGACUCCUACGGGAGGCAGCAGUAGGGAAUCUUCCGCAAUGGGCGAAAGCCUGACGGAGCAACGCCGCGUGGGUGAUGAAGGUCUUCGGAUCGUAAAACUCUGUUAUUAGGGAAGAACAAAUGUGUAAGUAACUAUUCACGUCUUGACGGUACCUAAUCAGAAAGCCACGGCUAACUACGUG
rnacentral:rRNA from 1 species